UACGAAGGGGGGCUAGCGUUGCUCGGAAUCACUGGGCGUAAAGCGCACGUAGGCGGAUUGUUAAGUCAGGGGUGAAAUCCUGGAGCUCAACUCCAGAACUGCCUUUGAUACUGGCGAUCUCGAGUCCGGGAGAGGUGAGUGGAACUGCGAGUGUAGAGGUGAAAUUCGUAGAUAUUCGCAAGAACACCAGUGGCGAAGGCGGCUCACUGGAUCGGUACUGACGCUGAGGUGCGAAAGCGUGGGGAGCAAACAGG
rnacentral:rRNA from 1 species